UUUUUUUUUUGUUCUUAAAGGGAAGCUAAAUUUCCCAUAGAUAAAAGAAAAAGUUCGUUCAUAGAAGAAUGAUUACAUUCGUACGUUGGUUUGAUAUCCCUACAUUCGUCCUGAUGGAGCACAUGCAUGCUAAUUUAUUCCACCUUUUUCUUUCUUUUUUCGCAAAUGAUUGUAACAAAAAUUUAAGAAUUUUUUUGUAAUGGCGUGCAUACUUAACGAACAUGACACAUUCACAACUUUUUUACAAUUUAAGAAUUUAUUAUUAGUUAUAAUUUAAC
rnacentral:lncRNA from 1 species